rnacentral:rRNA from 1 species
CAGCCGCCGCGGUAAUACGGAGGGUGCAAGCGUUAAUCGGAAUUACUGGGCGUAAAGCGCACGCAGGCGGUUUGUUAAGUCAGAUGUGAAAUCCCCGGGCUCAACCUGGGAACUGCAUUUGAAACUGGCAAGCUAGAGUCUCGUAGAGGGGGGUAGAAUUCCAGGUGUAGCGGUGAAAUGCGUAGAGAUCUGGAGGAAUACCGGUGGCGAAGGCGGCCCCCUGGACGAAGACUGACGCUCAGGUGCGAAAGCGUGGGGAGCAAACAGGAUUAGAGACCCCAGUAGUCCCUGUCUCUUAUAC